GGGGGCGACCUGGUUUCGACAGAGGUUGCAACGCAGAACAGGGCAUACCGAGGACUGGUUACCUCGUAAAUACAUCCAGAACUGCUUAAAUGCAAACACUGUAAAAGAUUUCGGUGCCUCUGCGAACAGCAACAAGUUCGCUCUGGCAGCUUAAUCUACCCCUAACCGCUUAAUACCGGCUAGCUCUGCACCACUUUUUUCCUUGGGGUGGGCUGGAAACAGUACGCAGAGUCAUAAACAAGGAAUCGCUUUGGGCCGGGUUACUUGGUUCACGGUUAAAUUUAGGUGACUCGUCUUGCCGCAGCGUGUGCGUCCGCGGUGUCAGGAUUAAAUCAAAUGACAGCACUAAGUAUGUAGAACUGCCUGUUUAGUACUUUUGGACGCGGGUUCGAUUCCCGCCGCCUCCACCA
rnacentral:tmRNA from 1 species